rnacentral:rRNA from 1 species
UACGUAGGCAGCGAGCGUUGUUCGGAGUUACUGGGCGUAAAGGGUGUGUAGGCGGUUCUUUAAGUUUGGUGUGAAAUCUCCCGGCUCAACCGGGAGGGUGCGCCGAAUACUGAGGGACUCGAGUGCGGGAGAGGAAAGUGGAAUUCCUGGUGUAGCGGUGAAAUGCGUAGAUAUCUGGAGGAACACCGGUGGCGAAGGCGGCAUCCUGGACCGGUAUUGACGCUGAGGCGCGAAAGCUAGGGGAGCAAACGGG